AUUAAGGAAAAAUCAUGUUCAUUCAUAAUUUUCAUUUUAAAAGUGUAUUCAUUCCUUCUGCAAAUCCAUACUGUCAUGCCUAUUCCCCAAUAUCGCCAACGCGGAUAGUUCGUUAGUCGAAAAUACUGAAUAAUUAAACAAACCAAAUGGCAUCACUGGUGGUUCUUUUUUCCACUCCGCUAAACUGUCAUCUCAAACAAAAACAAAUGGAUCAUACAACUGCUAUGAAUACAUUCGACUCGUUUGCUUCCAUCAAUCGGUAAGUGAGAAAGAUGAUUUCUCCCAUCACCACAGUGCGGAUUUCCACUUCUAUCACAGCAGCCAACAACAUCCGUUUUCCUGCAGCAGUAACCUCCAACCCCUGUUGGCAAUGCCGGGGGACAGCAUCGACAGCAGCAACAGAACUUUCCCCAUUCCGUGCUUCUCGCACAUUCAAAAAUCCUCUUCAGAUACGAAAACUCAACGACAAGGAGGUAUUUAUCAACUUGCUCAGCUGAAUUGCCACCCCGGAGGAACCCGAAUGCACUGAUUCCGUAGUAUAGUAGAAUGAAAAUAGGCGAGGUUAGCGAACGUAAUCGCAUGAUAUUUUAAUGUUCGCAUUUUUAUCCGGAUCAUACAACUGCUAUGAAUAUAUCCGACUCAAUCAAUCGGCGAGUGAGAAAGAUGAUUCCCCUCAUCACCACAUUGCUUAUUUCCACUUCUGUCACACCAGCCAACAGCAUCAGCUUUCCCGCAGCAGUAUCCUUUAAGUCCAGGGUGCUAUUCCGGGGAACAGCAUCAACAGCAACAGCAGCAGGACCUGGCCAUCGAUAGUAUUUCGAGCAAUUUUCCCCAUCGGAGAUCCCGUGCUUCACGCACAUUGAAGAAUCCUCCUCAGCCACAUAUCUGUGUCAUCAAGGGCAAGGAGGUAUUCAUCAAUGUACUCAGUCGGAUUUGAAUCGUCAAUCCAGACAACCCGGAUGCACCGAUUCCAUUAUAUACCUUAUUUUUAUUAUAC